UCCGGUGAUAAUUGCGAAAGGGAUCCACCUGUUCCCAUACCGAACACAGCAGUUAAGCCUUUCAGCGCCGAUGGUACUUGGUUGGUAACGACCUGGGAGAGUAGGACAUUGCCGGUU
rnacentral:rRNA from 1 species